rnacentral:rRNA from 1 species
GAGUGGCGGACGGGUGAGUAAUGCUUGGGAACUUGCCUUUGCGAGGGGGAUAACAGUUGGAAACGACUGCUAAUACCGCAUAAUGUUCUACGGACUCGGUCCGAAGGACCAAACGGGGCUUCGGCUCCGGCGCAAAGAGAGGCCCAAGUGAGAUUAGCUAGUUGGUAAGGUAACGGCUUACCAAGGCGACGAUCUCUAGCUGUUCUGAGAGGAAGAUCAGCCACACUGGGACUGAGACACGGCCCAGACUCCUACGGGAGGCAGCAGUGGGGAAUAUUGCACAAUGGGGGAAACCCUGAUGCAGCCAUGCCGCGUGUGUGAAGAAGGCCUUCGGGUUGUAAAGCACUUUCAGUUGUGAGGAAAAGUUAGUAGUUAAUACCUGCUAGCCGUGACGUUAACAACAGAAGAAGCACCGGCUAACUCCGUGCCAGCAGCCGCGGUAAUACGGAGGGUGCGAGCGUUAAUCGGAAUUACUGGGCGUAAAGCGCACGCAGGCGGUUU